ensembl:snoRNA
AGCACUUGUGUAUGUCUUUGUUUAACCUGUAACAAAGCUUCACAGACAGGUACAAACAGAAAGUCCUCUUUUGCAACCCCGAACUCACUGCUGAGAUGAGACUGUGCUACCUGUAAGAAGGAAUGUG